UACGUAGGGUGCGAGCGUUGUCCGGAAUUAUUGGGCGUAAAGAGCUCGUAGGCGGUUUGUUACGUCUGCUGUGAAAUCCCGAGGCUCAACCUCGGGCCUGCAGUGGGUACGGGCAGACUGGAGUGCGGUAGGGGAGAAUGGAAUUCCUGGUGUAGCGGUGGAAUGCGCAGAUAUCAGGAGGAACACCGGUGGCGAAGGCGGUUCUCUGGGCAUUACCUGACGCUGAGGAGCGAAAGUGUGGGGAGCGAACAGG
rnacentral:rRNA from 1 species